rnacentral:rRNA from 1 species
UACAGAGGGUGCAAGCGUUAAUCGGAAUUACUGGGCGUAAAGCGCACGUAGGCGGUUUUUUAAGUCAGAUGUGAAAGCCCCGGGCUCAACCUGGGAAUUGCAUUUGAAACUGGAAAACUAGAGUGUGUGAGAGGGUGGUGGAAUUUCCUGUGUAGCGGUGAAAUGCGUAGAUAUAGGAAGGAACACCAGUGGCGAAGGCGACCACCUGGGCUAAUACUGACACUGAGGUGCGAAAGCGUGGGGAGCAAACAGG